rnacentral:rRNA from 1 species
UGAUAGGUCAGAGGUGUAAGUGCGGUAACGUAUUUAGCUGACUGAUACUAAUAGGUCGAGGGCUUGACCAAUAA